rnacentral:lncRNA from 1 species
UGCGGAAAUGCCGGUACACCUCUCGGCCUUUGAGAGGACCAGAGAGCAGGACGGUGCCACAGCCCUUGGGGGACUCUAGGGCCGCGGCGGGCCCGGCUGGUCAUGCGCAGCGCACAAACCUUCAGUUUGGGCACCUCCUGAACCCGCACAUCAUCCCUUAUAGUCCCCACAACCACGGCGGUUUUGUUUUCCCGGCCAGGAAGCUUCAUCUUGCGGAUUAUCCGGAAAAGGGGCAGAGGUGGGCCCUUGGUGCGACUCCUAAACAACCUCUUCAGCACAACCUGGUUGAAUGUGGAGUUGGUUCGUCUGGCCAGAAACCUGUACAGCUUGACCAACAGCCUCAGCCGUGUAAGAUGUGCCUGCUUCCCCCUCG